AGAAGCCGGAUUUUGCUCUCCAUUGCAGACACCAGAUCGUAAUGCACCACCUGCAAAAAUGCGAAAAUUUCCAAAUGUAGCCCUGCCCUCUUACAGCUCUCCUGAUGUUCAACUGUUGUCUCUCAAGGAGGAUACUUGGCCAGCCUCAUGCUUGAUGUCUCCCACCUUGGCAGCUUUAAGACUUGUGGACUUCAACUCCCAGAAUUCUCCACAAUUCCCCAGAAUGGGCUCAGCGGGAGUUGAAGUCCAAACGUUGUAAAAGAGCCACAAUUGCCCAGCCCUGGGCUAGGGUAGGCUGAUGCCGCGCGGAUGGGAGGAGGGGCGGGCGACCCAGCAAUUAAGUUGUGGUUUGGAGGUAUAUAUGGGGGAAAUUAUUUGGUUUAUUAUUAUUGCAAUACUGAAGUAGUUUGCCAGCGCUUUUUCCCAUCUCCCAGUUUGGAAUAUUUUGAAUUGCUGCUACCUUCCAAAUAGUGACCAGAUCCAAUCCUAAUUGAGCAGAUCAGCCAAGAUCUAUAAGUAUUCCCUCCUGCUGAAACAGGUCAAGUGUGUGAUUGGAUUUUUCAGUCAUUCUAACAUAAAGGGGAUAGAAAACCAUGGUCCUAGAAGAGUUAUAAAUUUCUGCAUGAAUAACUAUCCUGAUCUUGCUACUCUCCAAUAAAGAGGCAUAUCCAGGAGGUACUGAAGAAACAAAAGGAAUGAAUGAAAAGAAAUGCUAGAGAAAAAUUAACCUGAAGCCAGGAUAGGUGGAAGAGAAAAGAAUCCAAUAAAUCCUUAACAACAUCAUAAAUAUUAACGAAACACUCACAGUGGGAACUGGAGGUACUAUACGGUACGUACAAAGUUGGAAAUUGAGGUGGGAAAGCAAACAGACAAAGACUGAGAUGAGGGCAGUGGAAGAGAAGACGGCCAAUACAAGAGACAACACAUGAAUAAUGCAUCUGUGGAUUUUUAUUUAGACACACCAACUGCAGGGUGCAAGAAGGAAGAAAGAAUGUUCCUUCAUGUGAAAACCUUUCUGCACAAACAAGAAAUGUCAGAGAGGAUCCUGCCAAGUUUUCACUUCAGCAUGCUGUUUUUCUAUCGGCAAACAGACUGUGGCGUUCAUUUUUACUUACAGUUGUUCUUUUUUUACUUGGGUUCAUUAGGGGCGCUCUAAAGUUUGAUCUUCACAGUAGCUGAAAGUGAUACAAUCUGACAAAAGCUUUACUAUUUGAUUCUGUUGAGCAUACAAGGUAAUCCUUAAACUUUUUGUGUGUGCGUGUCAGAUAAAGCUGUCAGUUCCAGCGUUUCCCUUGUAGUUCAGUCUUCCCCUCCCCACCACAUAAGCCUCUAGCAGAUAUAAUGCAAGAUUCCCAAAGCCCCCAACAACUCCAGUAUCUUACUGGUUUCCUACAAAACGCAAAUAUGCUGUGUAAGCAAUAGUGAUCCCACUUUUUGUAUUCAGUCUUCCUAAAAUGGUAGAUCUAGGAUAAUAUUUUCAAGCUGGGGUCCUUGGAUGCUUUCAGAACUGCUAUCAGUUAAAAGACCAUUUGUGGUAGCUCCUGCUGUUCUGCUAGAUUCUGCUGCUGCUGAGAAACACUAGAUUUUUCUGAAGACACAUUGCUGAAACCACCACUACCACCCCCAAAAAACCCCAAACUCUUUCUUCUAAAAAAUGGAGCCUUUGUUACCUGAGAAACUGAAGCAGUUGAGUCCAAAGAAACAACUGGAUUUUUUUCAGAAGUUUCUUCAUCUUUAUUUGCCUUGGAACGGAACCAACGGAACCAGCCAAAACCAGUAGUCUGGAGGGAUACAAAAUCUUGAGUGAAUGUAUAAGUAUGAAAUUCUUAACUGAUGCGAAACUGUUAAAACAGAAAAAGGGUUAAAGCUUUCUUUUUGUUUUUAAAAAAUGUUUAAUAAUUUAAAAAAAAAAUGAGUGGAACAUGCUGGGCUUUUCUUCUUCUAGACAUAGAAGACAUUGAGUCUCUGAUCCAGCCAUAAGCAUGCCAUAGGGCUUAUUGUGUAAAAUAGUGUAAGAAAUUAUGAAGGAGCAGGAAGAACUGGAAUCUCACAUUUUACUGUUGAGAAUAUGAGCCUUCCCCCAACCUCAUCUUCUUCAUCUACAGUGGUUUUUCAUUCCUGUAAUUCUUCUUCUGGUCCAGCAUUAUGUUUUCAAAAGAACCCAAUUAAAUGUUUCUGAGAAGCUCACAUGUAAGCAUGGAAACAAACUAAUUUCCCUGUUGUUUGUCCUCAUACCUAAUCUUGAAUGGCAUGUUGGUUCUGAACAUGAAAGAUCCAUUAAACUUCCAUAGUCUGACUCAA